rnacentral:ncRNA from 1 species
UCUUAUCCAGAGUAGCUGAGGGACUGGCCCGUUGAAGCUCGGCAACCUUAACAAGGUGCUAAUUCCAGCAAGGCAUAUGCCUUGAAAGAUGAGA